rnacentral:rRNA from 1 species
AGCGAACGCUGGCGGCAGGCUUAACACAUGCAAGUCGAACGCCCCGCAAGGGGAGUGGCAGACGGGUGAGUAACACGUGGGAACGUACCCUUUGGUUCGGAAUAACUUGGGGAAACUCAAGCUAAUACCGGAUAAGCCCUUAUGGGGAAAGGUUUACUGCCGAAGGAUCGGCCCGCGUCUGAUUAGCUAGUUGGUGAGGUAAUGGCUCACCAAGGCGACGAUCAGUAGCUGGUCUGAGAGGAUGAUCAGCCACACUGGGACUGAGACACGGCCCAGACUCCUACGGGAGGCAGCUGUGGGGAAUAUUGGACAAUGGGGGCAACCCUGAUCCAGCCAUGCCGCGUGGGUGAUGAAGGCCUUAGGGUUGUAAAGCUCUUUUACCCGGGACGAUAAUGACUGUACCGGGAGAAUAAGCCCCGGCUAACUUCGUGCCAGCCGCCGCUGUAA